rnacentral:rRNA from 1 species
UAGAAUUGGCGGGGCCGCACAAGCGGUGAGCAUGUGGUUUAAUUCGAAGCAACGCGAAGAACCUUACCAGGUCUUGACAUCCCGAUGCUAUUUCUAGAGAUAGAAAGUUACUUCGGUACAUCGGUGACAGGUGGUGCAUGGUUGUCGUCAGCUCGUGUCGUGAGAUGUUGGGUUAAGUCCCGCAACGAGCGCAACCCCUAUUGUUAGUUGCCAUCAUUCAGUUGGGCACUCUAGCGAGACUGCCGGUAAUAAACCGGAGGAAGUGGGGAUGACGUCAAAUCAUCAUGCCCCUUAUGACCUGGGCUACACACGUGCUACAAUGGUUGGUACAACGAGUUGCGAGUCGGUGACGGCGAGCUAAUCUCUUAAAGCCAAUCUCAGUUCGGAUUGUAGGCUGCAACUCGCCUACAUGAAGUCGGAAUCGCUAGUAAUCGCGGAUCAGCACGCCGCGGUGAAUACGUUCCCGGGCCUU